AUGCAAAGUUUGUCACUUUGUUAUUACUGCUGCCUGCUGGCCGGUGGUGUAGGAUGCAAGACUACCGACGACGGCGAGAGGCGGAAGAGAACAAGCACAUGGAAAAGAACGACCAACCAAUCACCUCAAGAUGGAACUCUACCUACUGGCACUGCCAAGCGCCUACUCGUCACCGUCUCCGCCGCCGCGGAAGAGCACGGACCGGUAGUAGAGAAGGACGAGGACGAGGACCAGCAUGAGCGCCACGCCGAUGGCGGAUUCCCCAACGUGGUGCACAGCAUCGGGCGAGCCGCCGAACGCGAACACGUCAUGGCGGCGGUAGGAGGAUUGGAGGCUGAUGAGGAGGAGGAGCCCGAUAGGGAGGAGGAGUAG
rnacentral:rRNA from 1 species